UGGGGAAUAUUGCGCAAUGGGGGAAACCCUGACGCAGCAACGCCGCGUGAUUGAAGAAGGCCUUCGGGUUGUAAAGAUCUUUAAUGAGGGACGAAGAAUGACGGUACCUCAAGAAUAAGCUCCGGCUAACUACGUGCCAGCAGCCGCGGUAAUACGUAGGGAGCAAGCGUUGUCCGGAAUUAUUGGGCGUAAAGCGUUCGUAGGCGGUAUAUCAAGUCUGGUGUUAAAGCCCGGGGCUCAACUCCGGUUCAGCAUCGGAUACUGGUAAACUAGAAUGCGGUAGAGGUAAGGGGAAUUCCUGGUGUAGCGGUGAAAUGCGUGGAUAUCAGGAGGAACAUCGGUGGCGAAAGCGCCUUACUGGGCCGUUAUUGACGCUGAGGAACGAAAGCCGGGGGAGCAAAUG
rnacentral:rRNA from 1 species